rnacentral:rRNA from 1 species
UACGGGGGGGGCAAGCGUUGUUCGGAAUUACUGGGCGUAAAGGGUUUGUAGGUGGCUUGCUAAGUCAGACGUGAAAUCCCUCAGCUUAACUGGGGAACUGCGUCUGAGACUGGCAGGCUUGAGUGCAGGAGAGGAACGCGGAAUUCCAGGUGUAGCGGUGAAAUGCGUAGAUAUCUGGAGGAACACCGGUGGCGAAGGCGGCGUUCUGGACUGCAACUGACACUGAAAAACGAAAGCCAGGGGAGAAAACGGG